ACACAUGCAAGUCGAGCGGUAAGGCCUUUCGGGGUACACGAGCGGCGAACGGGUGAGUAACACGUGGGUGAUCUGCCCUGCACUCUGGGAUAAGCUUGGGAAACUGGGUCUAAUACCGGAUAUGACCACAGNAUGCAUGUGUUGUGGUGGAAAGAUUUAUCGGUGCAGGAUGGGCCCGCGGCCUAUCAGCUUGUUGGUGGGGUAAUGGCCUACCAAGGCGACGACGGGUAGCCGACCUGAGAGGGUGACCGGCCACACUGGGACUGAGACACGGCCCAGACUCCUACGGGAGGCAGCAGUGGGGAAUAUUGCACAAUGGGCGGAAGCCUGAUGCAGCGACGCCGCGUGAGGGAUGAAGGCCUUCGGGUUGUAAACCUCUUUCAGCAGGGACGAAGCGUGAGUGACGGUACCUGCAGAAGAAGCACCGGCUAACUACGUGCCAGCAGCCGCGGUAAUACGUAGGGUGCGAGCGUUGUCCGGAAUUACUGGGCGUAAAGAGUUCGUAGGCGGUUUGUCGCGUCGUUUGUGAAAACCCGGGGCUCAACUUCGGGCUUGCAGGCGAUACGGGCAGACUUGAGUGUUUCAGGGGAGACUGGAAUUCCUGGUGUAGCGGUGAAAUGCGCAGAUAUCAGGAGGAACACCGGUGGCGAAGGCGGGUCUCUGGGAAACAACUGACGCUGAGGAACGAAAGCGUGGGUAGCAAACAGGAUUAGAUACCCUGGUAGUCCACGCCGUAAACGGUGGGCGCUAGGUGUGGGUUCCUUCCACGGGAUCUGUGCCGUAGCUAACGCAUUAAGCGCCCCGCCUG
rnacentral:rRNA from 1 species